rnacentral:misc_RNA from 1 species
AAAGUCGUAACAAGGUUUCCGUAGGUGAACCUGCGGAAGGAUCAUUCACAAUAAGUGUUUAUGGCACUUUCAAAUCCAUACCCACCUUGUGUGCAUUGUAAAGGCCCUUUCAAAGACUGGGCUUCAUUUUCUCACACGUCUUCAAUUUGCAAGUCUAACCAUUCAGAGUAAUCAAAAAACUCGAAUACAACUUUCAACAACGGAUCUCUUGGUUCUG